GCUUCACGACACCUACUGAGGAAGGAGACCCACCAGUAAAGAGACGGUCUGGACCAGACCAAAAAUAUGGCGAUGACAUCAUGGAACUGGUCUUUGGAAAAGUUUUCCCUGAACCAACUCCGUUUCUAGAUGAGGUAGAGAAGAUCUGCAUCUCACCAACCCUCUGGUCUCUGUAUUCAGACAACGGAGGUCUCCCACUGUUAUCCAGGACCAGUUUGAAGCCCACAUACUACCCCUCCCUCAUCAUCAGGAAACAUCAAUCCGUAUCCUGAGGACAACAGAAGACGGCAGGAGGACAGGAACUCUGAGACCUAGAUACCACAGCGCCGGGACACAAAGCACCUGUGUGUACAACGCCUGUUUAACUACUAAAGCCUGUUUAUUAUAUUGUUCUACUUAUUUGCUGUGAGGUUAAUACUUAGAAAAUUUGUAUAUUAAUGUAAACAAUAAAAAAAUCACAGAUUGUAUGUUUUCUUUUAGAUGUAAUGGUCCAAACUCAGCCUUGUAGACAUUUAUUGUAUCCUGUAGGUAAAUACACAGAACAGGCUCAGAUCCAGGAUGACCCAGCAUGCUCUUCUUCCAUUCUGGCUGUUAGGGAUUGUAUCAAUAACUCAAUGCCUACUGAUGUUUCCACCUAACGGUAUUUAUUUAGAAUGCAGGUAAGAUUUAACUACAUUUGUUAGCAAAGCAGACUGAUCUUGGGAAUUUCACUGCAGCACUGAUGUCCACCUCUGUGUACACAUUAGAGAAUUACCACGUUACAGCUAAAUGCAUAUUUAAUAAAGAUAGGCUACACAUUGGAGACAAUAAAAACAAAGUUGUAAGCAUUAGAAUUAUAAUGAUCACAUUAAAGAACAUUUGGAGGAAUGUUCUUUAUUUUUGACUAGAAUCUCAAAUCUUUAAAUUAAAAUGUAGCUUUUUAUCCAUUUUCAGCCAUUAAGACACCCAAUAUAAAA